rnacentral:tRNA from 1 species
GGAUUAUGGCUCAGCGGUAGCGUACUUGCCUGGCGUGCGUGAGGCACUGGGUUCGAGUCUCAGUACCA